GACGAACGCUGGCGGCGUGCUUAACACAUGCAAGUCGAGCGGUAAGGCCCUUUCGGGGGUACGACGAGCGGCGAACGGGUGAGUAACACGUGGGUGGACCUCGCCCUCCAGCUCUGGGAGUAAGACCUCGGGAAACCGGGGUACCGUAAUAACUGGAGUAUGACUCCACUGACGCAUGUUGGUUGGGGUGGGAAAGACCUU
rnacentral:rRNA from 1 species